UGCCGGGGCUAUGCACUUCACAACUCCUAGGGGUUCCAGUGACACAUUUUGAUAAAUGGUACCUCUAUAAGUUGUGCAGUGCUACAGCCCUGCU
rnacentral:miRNA from 1 species